GGAUUAGGCAUGCAAGUCGCGCGAGAAACCCGCAAGGGUGGAAAGCGGCGAAAGGGAGAGUAACGCGUAGAAAUCUACCCCUUGGUCUGGGAUAGCUGCGGGAAACUGCAGGUAAUACCGGAUGAUGUCUACGGACCAAAGGUGUGAUUCCGUCGAAGGAGGAGUCCGCGUACUAUUAGCUUGUUGGUGGGGUAAAGGCUUACCAAGGCAAUGAUGGUUAGCGGGUGUGAGAGCAUGGCCCGUCUCACUGGGACUGAGACACUGCCCAGACACCUACGGGUGGCUGCAGUCGAGAAUCUUCGGCAAUGGGCGCAAGCCUGACCGAGCGACGCCGCGUGUGGGAUGAAGGCCUUCGGGUUGUAAACCACUGUCAGAGGGGAUGAAAUGCUCGGGGGUUCUCCCCCAGGUUUGACAGAUCCUCAGAGGAAGUCCGGGCUAAGUUCGUGCCAGCAGCCGCGGUAAGACGAACCGGACAAACGUUAUUCGGAAUCACUGGGCUUAAAGGGUGCGUAGGCGGCGCGGCAAGUCGGAUGUGAAAUCCCCCGGCUCAACCGGGGAACUGCGUCCGAAACUGUCGUGCUCGAGGGAGAUAGGGGUGAGCGGAACUCACGGUGGAGCGGUGAAAUGCGUUGAUAUCGUGAGGAACGCCGGUGGCGAAAGCGGCUCACUGGAUCUCUUCUGACGCUGAGGCACGAAAGCUAGGGGAGCGAACGGGAUUAGAUACCCCGGUAGUCCUAGCUGUAAACGAUGAGCACUUGGUUGGAGGGGCUCCCAUACCCUUCCGGCCGUAGCGAAAGUGUUAAGUGCUCCGCCUGGGGAGUAUGGCCGCAAGGCUGAAACUCAAAGGAAUUGACGGGGGCUCACACAAGCGGUGGAGGAUGUGGCUUAAUUCGAGGCUACGCGAAGAACCUUAUCCUGGUCUUGACAUGCACGGAUUAACCCUGUGAAAGCAGGGCCACGCCUUCGGGUGGAACAUACACAGGUGCUGCAUGGCUGUCGUCAGCUCGUGUCGUGAGAUGUCGGGUUAAGUCCCUUAACGAGCGAAACCCUUGUCACUAGUUGCCAGCGCGUAAUGGCGGGGACUCUAGUGAGACUGCCGGUGUUAAACCGGAGGAAGGUGGGGAUGACGUCAAGUCCUCAUGGCCCUUAUGACCAGGGCUGCACACGUCCUACAAUGGUACGGACAAAGGGACGCGAACUCGCGAGAGCAAGCAAAUCCCAGAAACCGUGCCUCAGUUCGGAUUGCAGGCUGCAACUCGCCUGCAUGAAGCCGGAAUCGCUAGUAAUCGCGGGUCAGCAUACCGCGGUGAAUGUGUUCCUGAGCCUUGUACACACCGCCCGU
rnacentral:rRNA from 1 species